rnacentral:lncRNA from 1 species
AUGGACUCGGUGGCGUGGCAGGGCAGAGCUAUCCAGAAGGGUUUGAUAUCUGACCAGGAGCCACCAUCCCAAGUGCUGGAAUGCAAGAUCCAUGCCAGGGCUGGAGUUUCCCUGGAUUUUCUCCAGGGAGGACCCUGCUGCUGCCUCAGGGGACACAGGAUGGUGACAGGCUGCAGAGGAGGAGCUUUUCCUCAGAGGGAAUCAAUCCCAGAAUCUCCUGAGCUGGAAGAGACCACAAAGAUCACUGAGUUAAACUCCCAGGACACCCCAAAAAUCCCACCUGAGAGCCUUUUCCAAGCACCACCAGCCCCUCUGCCUGCAGCGUGACAGCCUUGGGCUGCCUAAACAAACAGCUUUAGGACAACAUUUUACCUGGGAGAGUUUCUUUUUCCCUUCCCUUUGUAAUUCCACCCAGGACAGCAGCACCUCCAAACCCAUCCCUUCCCCUCCUAAACCUCUCCUUUAACCAUUUGUUAAAGACUUUUCCCCUCCACAUUGCCUUUUUUUUUAUUUUAAAAUAUCUUUUUUUUAAGCCUAGAGCAGCUAACAAAACCAAAGCAAGGCGGGGAGCGUGAGAAGAGCCUGAUGAAAUAUUGAAGAUUUGAAGAUGAUAUCUUUAUUUUAUUUAUUUUCCGUUGGGUUUGUUGGCGGAUUUUGCGCGGGAUGAGCCCGGAGGAGGUCACCCAGCGCUCUGGGGUGGCUCCAUAUUGCAGGGAGCUGUGCUGGCUUCGGAGCCAGCUGGGCCACCAGCCCCAGGCCUUUGUGGCCCGGCUUUGUGGCCCCGCCGAGCGCGCACAAAGUCGAUGGUGGGGCGGCUUUGUUCCCUCCCCGCGGAAAAACAACAACAAAAAUAACCCCCAAAAAAAGCGCCGGGCAUUGACAAGGUGAUGAAUUCCUUCACUGCUGCGCCUCAUAAUGGACUCGAGCGCUGCUGCCCUGGCUCGGAGCGGGGAAAAAACAAAAAAACCAACAAAACCGAGCUCGUCUCCCACUGCUUCGCUCCUUGGAACCUGAUUUUUUCC